rnacentral:rRNA from 1 species
UACGGAGGGUGCAAGCGUUAUCCGGAUUCACUGGGUUUAAAGGGUGCGUAGGUGGGAAUGUAAGUCAGUGGUGAAAUCUCCGUGCUUAACAUGGAAACUGCCAUUGAUACUAUGUUUCUUGAAUCUUCCGGAGGUCAGCGGAAUAUGUCAUGUAGCGGUGAAAUGCUUAGAUAUGACAUAGAACACCAAUUGCGAAGGCAGCUGACUACAGGGGCAUUGACACUGAUGCACGAAAGCGUGGGGAUCAAACAGG